GCGGAGGAAAAGAAACCAACCGGGAUUGCCCUAGUAACGGCGAGUGAAGCGGCAAGAGCUCAAAUUUGAAAGCUGGCCCCCUCGGGGUCCGCAUUGUAAUUUGCAGAGGAUGCUUCGGGAACGGCCCCCAUCUAAGUGCCCUGGAACGGGCCGUCAUAGAGGGUGAGAAUCCCGUCUGGGAUGGGGUGGCCGCGCCCGUGUGAAGCUCCUUCGACGAGUCGAGUUGUUUGGGAAUGCAGCUCUAAUUGGGUGGUAAAUUUCAUCUAAAGCUAAAUAUUGGCCGGAGACCGAUAGCGCACAAGUAGAGUGAUCGAAAGAUGAAAAGCACUUUGAAAAGAGAGUUAAACAGCACGUGAAAUUGUUGAAAGGGAAGCGCUUGCGACCAGACUCGCCCGCGGGGUUCAGCCGGCACUCGUGCCGGUGUACUUCCCCGCGGGCGGGCCAGCGUCGGUUUGGGCGGCCGGUCAAAGGCCUCUGGAAGGUAACGCCUCUCGGGGCG
rnacentral:rRNA from 1 species